AUCCCCGUGCGGGGAGGGGGAGGCCCCUCGGGGAGUGGCCGCGGGGUCCAGGCGUGGGGUCUCGGCGGUCACCGAUCACCACACGCGCUGCCACUGUGCUGCAUGACCGGGACAGCGUCCUCCCUGGCAGGAAUCACUCCCGCCACCUCGGGCCGCCGGGUCCCCCCGCUGGGCUCCAGUCUUACCUGACGGCUGUCUCUGUCCUCUGGAGAAUGCUGAGCGAAGGUCAGGUGUCCCUAAGGUCUGAAGAACUGAAAGGCUGGAAUGUCUCCUGGUGGGCAAGUGCGGGGUCAGGGGUCACAGCCAGCCUGGAGGCCUCCUUCCCUAACUCCUUGUGGGAGCCACCUGGAGACUCAGGAAUGAGCCUGCCUGGGGCAUGGGUCACCGUGCAGGACCCCAGACACACCUGGGUUGAAACCCUACUGUCUCCAAGCUUGGGGGUCACUUCCAUUCUUGAACCUCAGCUGCCACACCUGGGGGGUUACACCUGUCCCGCCGUGCUCACGUUGUGUGUGAGGACUGGGACGACACCGAGUACCAGACAGUUUUGGGCCGUCGGUGUCGCUCAGCCCCUGUGUGCUGGCUCCGACCAGCAGAGACCCUGACAGGUGCCUUCAGACCCACCUGUGCUGACCAGUGGGGGCCACGGGCCACACCCAAGGGCUGGGCAGUCGUGGCUGUCGGAAUUGGAAGGUGCUGGUAGUGUAAAAUACACAGAUUUAGAAGACUUGGUGAAAGAAAAAUAAUGUAAAAUAUCUCACUUAACAAUUUUAUUAAAUUAAUGGUUUUUUAACAUAAAGAUAUACUUGAAAAGAUAACAGACACCACCCAUAAUUUCCCCACCCAGGGGUGACAGCCGACAGUCCUGGGCAGCUGCUUUUCCAUCUCAUAUGUCUUAUUUGUGUGCAGUGACUGCUUUCCAGAGCACGCUCUCCAGCGCCCAGGGGUCCGUGUCCUGACAGCAGUAGCCGGGCCUUUCUCUGCACUGAGUGGCAUCUCCCUCCUAAAGAUACUUUGCUUCAGAAUUUCAUCCUUUCACUUUUGAAGUUCCUCUGGGCCAGUGUAGAUACUUUGUUUCAGAAUUUCUUCUUUUCAUUGUGUAACUCCUUCUGGGCCAGCAUAGCUUCGCUGGAUGAGCUGGGCUCUGCAGGUGAAGCCUCCCUGUUAAGUUUCUGCUUUUCCUGACUUUCUCAGAGGACAGAGGGGUGAGGCGGGGCAGCUCAUGAAUAAUUUUUUAUGUUGAAGACUUGUCGAAAUAAUAUUUUGGUUAUGUUGGGUUAAAUAAAAUAUAAAGUUAGUCUGUA